rnacentral:tRNA from 1 species
UUCGAUAUGGUGUAGUGGCUAAAAUUAUCGCCGCUCACGCGAUAGCCCGGGGUUCAAUUCCCCGUGUCGGAA